AUCCAUCUGACUGGUCUUAAAUAGGACGAAACACACGUCCUGGAU
rnacentral:hammerhead_ribozyme from 1 species